UCUUGCUUGGCCCUUUUCGGAACGGCAUUGCCUCUUCCACUACUAACGGCAAAUGACCUUGGUUAAUAUUGAUUUCUUGCCUGACAUCUCAGCGUCCUGCAAGCCUAGGCUAAAUUAAUUCCCACCAGAGGUCAUAGUUGAGGCCUGGGGUCCGGGGAGCUGCCUGUGAUAAACAUGACCAUUUAUCACUCAGCUGUCUUUCCCAGAGACUAAAUUCACUUUCAGACAAAUCCUCCCCCUAAUUUAACCUUAAUGGCUGGCUCACAAAUCCCCUGUGUGUGCAUGUGUGUGUGCUCAGCUUAUCUCUUGACACUGCUCUUCCAUCCCAUUUCCCCAGCAUCCUCCCACCCGUGAGAUAAACAAGGAGAGAGUUCUGUGUAUGACCAAGGUUCGGGGGGAGCUGGCUAUGUCAAAUGGGUUCCUGUGCCAAGGAGACUUUUGAUAACCUACGCAAAUAUCAAGGCCGACACUUUGCUGCGGUUUGAUUUGUUAUCAGGAAGCGUGGCACUUCAGAUAAGUGGAGAGGCAGACUGCAAAGAGGGCUGGAGACCAUGAAGAAACACCUUCUGUAUUGAUAACACUUCUUCACAUGUGUAUGCUCUGUUUAAAGUCAGAGGUGCCAUUCCAAGAGGGCGGAGGGAGGCAGUCUCUCCUCCCCCCCCACCUGCGUUUCAUGUCUGAUAUGAAGAACUGUCAAGUGUGCAGAAAUCUUGAGGAAGGUGAAGCAGCCUGGGUCUGGUCCGUGCCCGGAUUUAUUAAGAAUUGGAAGACACAAGAUCUACCCACCAUGGAAGA